AGUGAACGCUGGCGGUAGGCCUAACACAUGCAAGUCGAACGGCAGCACAGUAAGAGCUUGCUCUUACGGGUGGCGAGUGGCGGACGGGUGAGGAGUACAUCGGAAUCUACUUUUUCGUGGGGGAUAACAUAGGGAAACUUACGCUAAUACCGCAUACGACCUACGGGUGAAAGCAGGGGAUCUUCGGACCUUGCGCGAUUGAAUGAGCCGAUGUCGGAUUAGCUAGUUGGCGGGGUAAAGACCCACCAAGGCGACGAUCCGUAGCUGGUCUGAGAGGAUGAUCAGCCACACUGGAACUGAGACACGGUCCAGACUCCUACGGGAGGCAGCAGUGGGGAAUAUUGGACAAUGGGCGCAAGCCUGAUCCAGCCAUACCGCGUGGGUGAAGAAGGCCUUCGGGUUGUAAAGCCCUUUUGUUGGGAAAGAAAAGCAGCAGGUUAAUACCCCGCUGUUCUGACGGUACCCAAAGAAUAAGCACCGGCUAACUUCGUG
rnacentral:rRNA from 1 species